GAUGAACGCUGGCGGCGUGCCUAAUACAUGCAAGUCGAGCGAACAGACGAGAGUGCUUGCACUCUCUGACGUUAGCGGCGGACGGGUGAGUAACACGUGGGUAACCUACCUAUAAGACUGGGAUAACUUCGGGAAACCGGAGCUAAUACCGGAUAAUAUUUAGCUUCGCAUGAAGCAAUAGUGAAAGACGGUUCUGCUGUCACUUAUAGAUGGACCCGCGGUGUAUUAGCUAGUUGGUGAGGUAACGGCGCACCAAGGCAACGAUACAUAGCCGACCUGAGAGGGUGAUCGGCCACACUGGGACUGAGACACGGCCCAGACUCCUACGGGAGGCAGCAGUAGGGAAUCUUCCGCAAUGGACGAAAGUCUGACGGAGCAAUGCCGCGUGAGUGAAGAAGGUUUUCGGAUCGUAAAACUCUGUUGUAAGGGAAGAACAAGUACGUUAGUAACUGAACGUACCUUGACGGUACCUUACCAGAAAGCCACGGCUAACUACGUG
rnacentral:rRNA from 1 species